rnacentral:rRNA from 1 species
GACGUAGGGUCCGAGCGUUGUCCGGAGUUACUGGGCGUAAAGGGCGCGUAGGCGGUCUUCUGCGUCACACGUGAAAGCCCCGGGCUCAACCCGGGAACAGCGCUUGAGACUGGGGGGCUUGAGUUCGGGAGAGGAGAGUGGAAUUCCCAGUGUAGAGGUGAAAUUCGUAGAUAUUGGGAAGAACACCGGUGGCGAAGGCGGCUCUCUGGACCGACACUGACGCUGAGGCGCGAAAGCGUGGGGAGCAAACAGG